AGAAGAAAGAAGGAAAAAACGAUAGAAGUGGAUCUGCAGUACCCUUGUCAUGCCCUGAGACGCAGGGUCGUCAUUUCAGGUGGGAAACGCCUGUCCCUCAGGAAAAGAAGGCGAACUACUCCCUCUAUAGGCUUUCCCCUUUGUUGCUUUCAUGAACCGGACAUCCAGGGGAUCAGAGCUGCAUGCAAACUUAGAAGGCUGGCAAGAACUCUGAAGGCCCUGCUGCCACAAUUGCACCAGCACUGCAGUUUAUGGCAUCAUUCCACACCAACAACAGUUGCAGAGCAGCAGGAGUGUGAAGAAUCAGCCAGAGGCAGGGCAGGGAUGGGAGGCAGAUGUUUGCAAGCUGGCCUUGCAAAUGAAGCCCCCUUUUGAAAAUGUGCAGCUGCCAGUGUACCUUUGCUCUGGUACAGGUCAGAGGGAAUUCUCCUGCAGUGUCUGAAGUAACACAUUAGGGAAGAACUGACACAUGGGUGAGUUAUAUAUUAACCACUAGAGAUGACCUUUCAGAGAGUGACAGAGUAACAAUCUCGCUGAUAAAGGAAAUAGCAACUUUUUCAUUUUGCAGAGCAUGGGUAUUCUUCCCAGUAAAAGACUGCACAGCUCUUCCCACUAAAUGAUACCAUUUUCAGUUCUUCCAUACUUUCUGAAAUGGAAUAAAUUGUUCAGAUGUUUUCAGUGCUAAAUAAAUGCCUCUUUCUGUUUCUUGUGGGGAGCUGAAGGUCGAAGGCAGGAAAUGUUUUAGCUAAAAUGAUGCAGCCAUUUCCAAGGAAGUGUCAGAAGAGCAACAUACAAGUUUGCUUGGGUUACAGAAGUAAUCUUAGCAGCCAUUCAGCACUGUGCUCACUUUUCCUUCCCAAGGCCUGGCCUUGUUCUGUGUUCAGCAUUACCAGAGAUCUGCUGCAAUGAAGUUUAUGUACUUAUGUCACUUAGGACACAGAUGAAUUGCUUUAACUUAUGCUUAAAAGCAAAAACCAGCCAGAGAUGACAAAUCUGAGUACUGUAUUUCACCAGUUAAAUGACUAAUGUUUUAGUUGUUUUUGAAGCUUCUGGUGAAAGCUGAAGCAUAAUGGUGAAAGAAAAAAUAAUAUAAGUUACAUAACACCACACAUAUGGAAUUGAUAAUGCUCUGGUUUUAUAAGGAAUAAAUUGUUCUUCCG
rnacentral:lncRNA from 1 species